GUUUUUUGUUAUUUUGGGCAGGGAGCAGGAAACAUUAGCUGUGGGAGCCUCCCCUGCCAUCUUGCCUUUGUUCCUGGUGGCCAUGGGACAUGGUGUGCAGGAACGGUCACCGUCUGAUCCAUGUGGACACAACCUACAAGGGUCCAUCAUUUUGGUUUUGAUCCUGGUGGUGAACACCUUUUUCUCAGCAAAACUGGAUUCUGGACUGAUUUUCGCAAGCUCAUGCUGCCUGAAGGCUGAAAUGAAGCUGUCACUGAAGGAGCCCACCAGGACAUGCUGCAUUGAAGGAGAGCCACCUUCUCUUCCCUGCCUGGGUCUGAAUUGCUGUCACCUUGCCAGCAUCACCCUGAAAGCAGCUAAAAGAGUUUCAGGGACCAGCAACUGCUUAAGGAGUUAG
rnacentral:lncRNA from 1 species